rnacentral:rRNA from 1 species
UACGUAGGGUGCAAGCGUUAAUCGGAAUUACUGGGCGUAAAGCGUGCGCAGGCGGUUUUGUAAGUCAGAUGUGAAAUCCCCGGGCUUAACCUGGGAACUGCGUUUGAAACUACAAGGCUAGAGUGUGGCAGAGGGGGGUGGAAUUCCACGUGUAGCAGUGAAAUGCGUAGAGAUGUGGAGGAACACCGAUGGCGAAGGCAGCCCCCUGGGUUAACACUGACGCUCAGGCACGAAAGCGUGUGGAGCAAACAGG